rnacentral:tRNA from 1 species
GCCCCAAUAGUUUAGUGGUAAAACACCUGAUUUGUAAUCAGAUAUCCUCAGUUCGACUCUGAGUGGGGGCU